rnacentral:rRNA from 1 species
UAACGAAUCUUCCGCAAUGCACGAAAGUGUGACGGAGCGACGCCGCGUGUGGGACGAAGCCCUUCGGGGUGUAAACCACUGUCAGGGGACAAAAAGUUCUGAUCAUCCCCAGAGGAAGGCACGGCUAACUCUGUGCCAGCAGCCGCGGUAAUACAGAGGUGCCAAGCGUUAGGCGGAAUCACUGGGCUUAAAGCGUGUGUAGGCGGACUUGUAAGUAUCUUGUGAAAUCCCACGGCUUAACCGUGGAACUGCUUGGUAUACUGCAAGUCUUGAGCCAACUAGGGGCUACCGGAACAAAUGGUGGAGCGGUGAAAUGCGUAGAUAUCACUUGGAACGCCAAUGGUGAAAACAGGUAACUGGGGUUGUGCUGACGCUGAGACACGAAAGCUAGGGGAGCAAACGGGAUUAGAUACCCCCGUAGUCC